GAUGAACGCUGGCGGCGUGCCUAAUACAUGCAAGUCGAGCGAACAGAUGAGGAGCUUGCUCCUCUGACGUUAGCGGCGGACGGGUGAGUAACACGUGGAUAACCUACCUAUAAGACUGGGAUAACUUCGGGAAACCGGAGCUAAUACUGGAUAAUAUAUUGAACCGCAUGGUUCAAUAGUGAAAGACGGUUUUGCUGUCACUUAUAGAUGGAUCCGCGCCGCAUUAGCUAGUUGGUAAGGUAACGGCUUACCAAGGCAACGAUGUGUAGCCGACCUGAGAGGGUGAUCGGCCACACUGGAACUGAGACACGGUCCAGACUCCUACGGGAGGCAGCAGUAGGGAAUCUUCCGCAAUGGGCGAAAGCCUGACGGAGCAACGCCGCGUGAGUGAUGAAGGUCUUCGGAUCGUAAAACUCUGUUAUUAGGGAAGAACAAAUGUGUAAGUAACUAUGCACGUCUUGACGGUACCUAAUCAGAAAGCCACGGCUAACUACGUG
rnacentral:rRNA from 1 species